UACGAAGGGGGCUAGCGUUGCUCGGAAUCACUGGGCGUAAAGGGUGCGUAGGCGGGGCUUUAAGUCAGGGGUGAAAUCCUGGAGCUCAACUCCAGAACUGCCUUUGAUACUGGGAAGCUUGAGUCCGGGAGAGGUGAGUGGAACUCCGAGUGUAGAGGUGAAAUUCGUAGAUAUUCGCAAGAACACCAGUGGCGAAGGCGGCUCACUGGCCCGGUACUGACGCUGAGGUGCGAAAGCGUGGGGAGCAAACAGG
rnacentral:rRNA from 1 species